rnacentral:rRNA from 1 species
UACGUAGGGUGCGAGCGUUGUCCGGAAUUACUGGGCGUAAAGAGCUCGUAGGUGGUUUGUCGCGUUGUUCGUGAAAACUCACAGCUUAACUGUGGGCGUGCAGGCGAUACGGGCAGACUGGAGUACUGCAGGGGAGACUGGAAUUCCUGGUGUAGCGGUGGAAUGCGCAGAUAUCAGGAGGAACACCGGUGGCGAAGGCGGGUCUCUGGGCAGUAACUGACGCUGAGGAGCGAAAGCGUGGGGAGCGAACAGG